GAUGAACGCUGGCGGCGUGCCUAAUACAUGCAAGUCGAGCGAACAGACGAGGAGCUUGCUCCUCUGACGUUAGCGGCGGACGGGUGAGUAACACGUGGAUAACCUACCUAUAAGACUGGGAUAACUUCGGGAAACCGGAGCUAAUACCGGAUAAUAUAUUGAACCGCAUGGUUCAAUAGUGAAAGACGGUUUUGCUGUCACUUAUAGAUGGAUCCGCGCCGCAUUAGCUAGUUGGUAAGGUAACGGCUUACCAAGGCAACGAUGCGUAGCCGACCUGAGAGGGUGAUCGGCCACACUGGUACUGAGACACGGUCCAGACUCCUACGGGAGGCAGCAGUAGGGAAUCUUCCGCAAUGGGCGAAAGCCUGACGGAGCAACGCCGCGUGAAUGAUGAAGGUCUUCGGAUCGUAAAACUCUGUUAUUAGGGAAGAACAAAUGUGUAAGUAACUAUGCACGUCUUGACGGUACCUAAUCAGAAAGCCACGGCUAACUACGUG
rnacentral:rRNA from 1 species